GGGAGCGGAGAUUGUCCGGCUCAAGCCUCUGCUCCGGCUCUUGGGUCUCUGCUGACGGCUUCCUGAGGAGACGGCCCUCGAUGGGGCACCCUGGCAUGCAUUAUGCCCCAAUGGGAAUGCACCCUAUGGGUCAGAGAGCGAAUAUGCCUCCUGUACCUCAUGGAAUGAUGCCGCAGAUGAUGCCCCCUAUGGGAGGGCCACCAAUGGGACAAAUGCCUGGAAUGAUGUCGUCAGUAAUGCCUGGAAUGAUGAUGUCUCAUAUGUCUCAGGCUUCCAUGCAGCCUGCCUUACCGCCAGGAGUAAAUAGUAUGGAUGUAGCAG
rnacentral:lncRNA from 1 species